rnacentral:rRNA from 1 species
UACGAAGGGGGCAAGCGUUAUUCGGAUUUACUGGGCGUAAAGGGCGCGUAGGCGGCUUGGCAAGUCUGGUGUGAAAACGCUACCGCUUAACGGAGCGAUUGCGCUGGAAACUGCCAAACUUGAGUCCGCGAGAGGCUAGUAGAAUUCCUGGUGUAGCGGUGGAAUGCUCAGAUAUCAGGAGGAAUACCAGAGGCGAAGGCGACUAGCUGGAGCGGUACUGACGCUGAUGCGCGAAAGCAUGGGGAGCAAACAGG